UACGAAGGGGGCGAGCGUUGUUCGGAAUUACUGGGCGUAAAGGGCGCGCAGGCGGCUCUGCAAGUCAGAUGUGAAAGCCCCGGGCUUAACCUGGGAAUUGCAUUUGAUACUCUGGAGCUUGAGUGUGGGAGAGGAGAGUGGAAUUCCCAGUGUAGAGGUGAAAUUCGUAGAUAUUGGGAGGAACACCAGUGGCGAAGGCGACUAUCUGGGCUGCAACUGACGCUGAGGCGCGAAGGCUAGGGUAGCAAACGGG
rnacentral:rRNA from 1 species